rfam:Salmo salar isolate Sally breed double haploid chromosome ssa10, whole genome shotgun sequence.
CCCUGUACCUCAGUUGGUAGAGCAUGGUGUUUGCAACGCCAGGGUUGUGGGUUCGAUUCCCACGAGGG